rnacentral:rRNA from 1 species
AACGAACGCUGGCGGCAGGCCUAACACAUGCAAGUCGAGCGCCCCGCAAGGGGAGCGGCGGACGGGUGAGUAACGCGUGGGAACGUACCCUUUGCUACGGAAUAGCCUCGGGAAACUGGGAGUAGUACCGUAUGUGCCCUUCGGGGGAAAGACUUAUCGGCAAAGGAUCGGCCCGCGUUGGAUUAGGUAGUUGGUGGGGUAAUGGCCUACCAAGCCGACGAUCCAUAGCUGGUUUGAGAGGAUGAUCAGCCACACUGGGACUGAGACACGGCCCAGACUCCUACGGGAGGCAGCAGUGGGGAAUCUUAGACAAUGGGCGCAAGCCUGAUCUAGCCAUGCCGCGUGAGCGAUGAAGGCCUUAGGGUUGUAAAGCUCUUUCAGGGGGGAAGAUAAUGACUGUACCCCCAGAAGAAGCCCCGGCUAACUCCGUGCCAGCCGCCGCAGUAACAC